UGAAUAUGUUUGGAUAAGUAAAUGACACAGUUAUUAUGACUACAGUUACCCGAAGUGUGUUUUCACUGUAGGAUUUCAUCCAGAAAGGCUGUAUACAAAGCACUGUGAAAUAGUUGCAGCUAGAUGAGAGUAAAACAGCAACAAAUGAAGGCCAGGAGAAUUGGAAGAUGAAAGCUUCAUGGCAAUGUGGCUGUCCUACUUUUCCACGCCUGCUUGUUUUCAAAGCAAACUGAAAGCAGACGAACAUGGGAACAGACUCCUGCUCAAGACUGGGCUUUGCUGCAAGGAGUGAACUACCUCCCCAGGGAGAUGGAUGAGAGUGGCUCCAUCAGCCUCCUUUUCCUGCAAAGGACUUGCUGGUCUUCUCACCUGAAGCUAUUUGAAGGAUUUAGGCACACUGGACCUCCCCAUGACCCCACAAGGAAUUUACGGUGUCUUAAACCCCUCCUCAUAACACUUCUCAAGACCUGCUGCUGCUUCCCAGCUGGAGUGAUGGCCAAUACCACACUGCUUGAAACACAAUGUAAGUAGGCUUCAUUGUGAAUUUUUGUUUGAAAGUGCUUGG
rnacentral:lncRNA from 1 species